rnacentral:piRNA from 1 species
UGUGACGAGUGAUAUGCCUAGGAUAUAAGCCU